ACUGCAAGUUAAGGAACUUAAGUUAAAAAGGAAUAGUGGCUGACAAUGUCCAUGCCCCCCUGCACAAACAUGUUCAACACUGAGCAGCAAAGCCUCUGCACUCCCACUGUGAACCCAAGAAUCUCCUUCUCCAACGACUUUGCAGACAUUCAACAACCUACCAAGCAUGAAAAUACCUACAGAGAAGCCCCCGUUUCCUCAGAAUUCGAGUUUUCUGUGAAAAACUACUCCAUGAUGUCUGCAGAUGAGUUAUUCUUUAAGGGCAUGGUGUUGCCUGUAAAGAAUAGUUGCACCAACCAGCAGCGAAAGAUGACUUUAAGAGAUGAACUCUCUGUGGAUGAUGAUGAUGUGUUUCCGAGGAUACCAAAGAAUGGAAGCCGGUGGAUAGAGCGCCUUGGCCUAAAAAAGGGUCUCUCUCUCUCCCCUACAAAUAAGAAAUGUGACAAGAGUGAUGGGGUGCUGGAAACUGUAGUUGAAGAGAAAAUGCCUUAGCCUGUGUGUGUUCAUGAAGAGGCCUUUGUUAGCAAGAAAACACAGAACUAUCAUUUUGAGGCCUUGAAGAAUGGUUAAGUUGCAGAUACAAAUGGAGUAGGAUUGGAUCAAUAAGGCAGAUGGAAGUAAAGGAGGUUCUAAAGUAGCAGCAUCGCAUCAAGGGAAGGGGGAUUUGUUGUCUGAUAUCUUGCUAAAAAGUUUGAAGUUUUGUUUGCUAAUGGUGAAGAUAUUGUACGAAUAGUGGUUUCCAUAAUGUAUGUUCAGGUUUGAUUAACUGCUUUCUUUUCUAACUCCUGCUUCUAUCUUUAGAUUUGACUGAAACAGCCCCUUCCGCCCUUAAUUCCCAUUGGAAGAGAGAGAGAGAGAGAAAGAGAGAGAGAGAGGUCAGCUUUUUCUGUUCUGUACAAAUGUGAAAUGUUGAGUGUUGAACUCUCCUUCGUAUAGGAUUACAGAUUAUUGCAAUCAAUCUAUUCAAUUCUUUUC